rnacentral:rRNA from 1 species
UCGCUAGUAAUCGCGAAUCAGAAUGUCGCGGUGAAUACGUUCCCGGGUCUUGUACACACCGCCCGUCACACCAUGGGAGUCGGAAAUGCCCGAAGUCAGCGACCCAACCACAACGUGAACUUCGUUCGCGUGGAGGGAGCUGCCGAAGGUGGAGCCGGUAACUGGGGUGAAGUCGUAACAAGGUAUC